rnacentral:tRNA from 1 species
GGGGGCAUGGCUCAAGUGGUAGAGCUCCUGCCUAGCAAGUGCAAGGCCCUGAGUUCAAAUCUCAGUACAGCCA